AUGACGCUCCUAAGUUGGAACUGCCGUGGCCUCAGGCAACCACGGACAGUUCAAGAGCUCGUGUGCCUCGUGCAUAUGUAUAAGCCCAAACUCGUCUUCCUCUUGGAAACUCGGCAAGGUAAUAAGUAUUUUAAUAAUAUGAAGUGGAGGCUAGGCCUUCGUCACUGUAUUGCACAACCCGACAUUGGAAAAGGUGUCGGCAUUGCCCUCUUUUAUGAUAAGAGUGUUGAAAUAAAAAAGAUUGCUGUGGGGGUGAGGUAUAUCGAUGUGUUGGUCCGUUUGAAUCCCCUUGGCCUGCAAUGGAGGGCUACUUUCUUUUACGGGAAGCCAAAAGCACAUGAGUGUCACCAUAUGUGGACUAUGUUAUGGAGGAUGAAGGAUACAUCAGACCUCCCCUGGCUAAUGAUCGGUGAUUUUAACGAAAAGACGUGGCGGUCCGAAAACUUUUCUGCAGCAAAAAGAUCUGAAAGAUACAUGGAAAACUUCCGCAAGGCCCUUUCGGACUGCAAUCUGUUUGAUAUUGGUUUUAAAGGGCCGGUCUGGAUGUUUAACAAUAAACAAAGUGUCUGA
rnacentral:rRNA from 1 species